UGAGCAAUCUGCCCUUCUCAUCGGAAUAAGCGUUGGAAACGACGUCUAAUGCCGAAUACGACCUCCUUUCGCAUGAUCGGAGGUGGAAAGCUCCGGCGGAGAAGGAUGAGCUCGCGGCCUAUCAGCUAGUUGGUGUGGGUAAUGGCCCACCAAGGCGACGACGGGUAGCCGGCCUGAGAGGGUCGACCGGCCACACUGGGACUGAGACACGGCCCAGACUCCGUACGGGAGCAG
rnacentral:rRNA from 1 species